UUUACAAACACUUCCAAUUCACUCAAAAACACCCUCUAAUCCGCUGAUUAUCUCAAGUUCGAGCAGAUUGUUCAAGCUUCACGAAAAUGAGCAUAACUUCUUCAUUUCUUGUCCGAUUUAGUCCAUUCUUUUUCCUAUGUGUUUGGAUUGACCUUAGCUUCGAUUCCAUGGGUUUUUCACAGUAAAUAAGUCCCUGGAACUCCGGCAAAAAGGCUCCAAAGUUCACUGUUCAUUUCUGAUUUCAUCUAAUCUUUACUAAACUCGUUCAACUUGAGUCUAACUCAUCUCAAACCUAUGUCCUUAUGCUUAUAACCACUUUUAUGGUUAGUUAGGCUUAAAAACAAGGUUGAGACAUUCAAAAUCAGAGUUUAAACCUCAUAUACAUUCUGUUUUGUUUAUGGUUUUUAACCCACAAGUAAUGUUUAAGUCCAAGACUUAAUGUAGGAGUGAUUAUGGACUAACUUGGGUUGUGCAACAUAAAAUCCCCACAUUACUCGAUGAUUUCUUAUAGAUUAGUUGUUUAUAUUCUUGUAUUAUUCAUAGUUUAUGACCAUCCUUUUAUGUUUUUACAUCAAGUGUAGUGGUGAACCAUAAGAGGUACCUAAAUGGAAGUUUGUUCUUCCUACCUCCUACAUGACUUCCAUGAUACUAGAGGUGCCUAAAUGAAGAAUAAUCUUCUACCUCAUACUUGAUUAAUGGACUAAAUAAUACCUAUAUACUUAUACCUAUACAUACUAUUCGAACUCUUGAUGGUGGACUUGUGUUCAUUUGUCAAGAUAUUAGAAUAACAUCAUCUAAGGCAUAAGACUUGUUACGAUUCUAAUGAGUAUAUUUCUCAUGAAAACAAUAACCCUUGAGGUUUCAUAGUGUCAAGAACAUGUACUUAGUGUUAAAAGAUGAUUACUUUUGAAUACUUAUAUUCUUGUGUUUUAACUUCCUAAAUCCCUAAACAAACACAUUCAACCUUCUAACCUCAUCAACUUCGUCACAUUGGAUAAUCGGAAAGCAUAUGCAAAUUUGUUGAGGAUUGAUGAUGCUACGAAAAUGGAUUAGCAAAGAUGCCUAGAUACUCAUUUAGACGUUUAAGUUUAAAGUGUUGUGUAAAUUUUGUUAUGUUAUGUUGAACAAUGUUAUUAUUUGAAUAUCUUGUAAUGCUUUGACAAUUUAUCUAUGAAAUGAAAAUGGUUGAAUUAAAU
rnacentral:lncRNA from 1 species